rnacentral:rRNA from 1 species
GGAACCACCCCUUCCCAUCCCGAACAGGACCGUGAAACGCUGCCGCGCCUAUGAUAGUGGGGGGCCUCCCCCCGCGAAAGUCGGUCACCGCCAGAC